CCUACGGGAGGCUGCAGUGAGGAAUAUUGGUCAAUGGCCGAGAGGCUGAACCAGCCAAGUCGCGUGAGUGAAGACGGCCCUACGGGUUGUAAACCUCUUUUGUCGGGGAGCAAAGAGAGUCACGUGUGACUCAUUGAGAGUACCCGAAGAAAAAGCAUCGGCUAACCCCGUGCCAGCAGCCGCGGUAAUACGGAGGAGGCGAGCGUUAUCCGGAUUUAUUGGGUUUAACGGGUGCGCAGGCGGAGGUGCAAGUCAGCGGUAAAAUUGCGGGGCUCAACCCCGUACUGCCGUUGAAACUGCAUCCCUUGAGUGCGCGAGAAGUAUGCGGAAUGCGUGGUGUAGCGGUGAAAGGCAUAGAUAUCACGCAGAACUCCGAUUGCGAAGGCAGCAUACCGGCGCGCAACUGACGCUCAUGCACGAAAGCGUGGGUAUCGAACAGGAUUAGAUACCCUUGUAGUC
rnacentral:rRNA from 1 species